GAUGAAGAACGUUGCAAAAUGCGAUAAGUAAUGUGAAUUGCAGAAUUCAGUGAAUCAUCGAAUCUUUGAACGCACAUUGCGCCCGCUGGUAUUCCGGCGGGCAUGCCUGUUCGAGCGUCAUUUCAACCCUCAAGCCCCCGGGUUUGGUGUUGGGGAUCGGCUCUGCCCUUCUGGGCGGUGCCGCCCCCGAAAUACAUUGGCGGUCUCGCUGCAGCCUCCAUUGCGUAGUAGCUAACACCUCGCAACUGGAACGCGGCGCGGCCAUGCCGUAAAACCCCAACUUCUGAAUGUUGACCUCGGAUCAGGUAGGAAUACCCGCUGAACUUAAGCAUAUCAAUAAGCGGAGGA
rnacentral:misc_RNA from 1 species